CAUGGCUAGAGUCCGGUAGGGGCCCACGGAAUUCCUGGUGUAGCGGUGAAAUGCGCAGAUAUCAGGAGGAACACCGGUGGCGAAGGCGGUGGGCUGGGCCGGAACUGACGCUGAGGAGCGAAAGCGUGGGGAGCGAACAGGAUUAGAUACCCUGGUAGUCCACGCCGUAAACGUUGGGCACUAGGUGUGGGACCUUAUCAACGGGUUCCGUGCCGUAGCUAACGCAUUAAGUGCCCCGCCUGGGGAGUACGGCCGCAAGGCUAAAACUCAAAGGAAUUGACGGGGGCCCGCACAAGCGGCGGAGCAUGUGGCUUAAUUCGAGGCAACGCGAAGAACCUUACCUGGGUUGAACUACGCAGGAAAAGCCGCAGAGAUGCGGUGUCCGCAAGGGCCUGCGAUAGGUGGUGCAUGGCUGUCGUCAGCUCGUGUCGUGAGUUGUUGGGUUAAGUCCCGCAACGAGCGCAACCCUUGUCCUAUGUUGCCAGCGGGUAAUGCCGGGGACUCGUAGGAGACUGCCGGGGUCAACUCGGAGGAAGGUGGGGAUGACGUCAAGUCAUCAUGCCCCUUACGUCCAGGGCUGCACACAUGCUACAAUGGCCGGUACAAAGGGCUGCUAUCCCGCGAGGGUGAGCGAAUCCCAAAAAGCCGGUCUCAGUUCGGAUCGUAGUCUGCAACUCGACUACGUGAAGUCGGAGUCGCUAGUAAUCCCGGAUCAGCAACGCCGGGGUGAAUACGUUCCCGGGCCUUGUACACACCGCCCGUCACACCACGAAAGUCGGUAACACCCGAAGCCAGUGGCCCAACCGCAAGGAGGGAGCUGUCGAAGGUGGGAUCGGUGAUUGGGGUGAAGUCGUAACAAGGUAUCAAUCCCGCGG
rnacentral:rRNA from 1 species